rnacentral:misc_RNA from 1 species
CCGAGUUAUACAACUCAUCAACCCUGUGAACAUACCUAUAACGUUGCCUCGGCGGGAACAGACGGCCCCCGUAACACGGGCGCGCCCCCCGCCAGAGGACCCCCUAACUCUGUUUCUAUAAUGUUCUUUUCUUCUGAGUAAACAAGCAAAUAAAUUA